rnacentral:misc_RNA from 1 species
UUACCGUAGGUGAACCUGCGGAAGGAUCAUUAUUGUAUAACCGAGGUGCGAGGGCUGUCGCUGACCCGAAAGGUCGUGCACGCCCGAGUGCCCUCACACACAUCCAUCUCACCCCUAUGUGCACCACCGCGUGGGUACCCAUUUGGCUUGUUCGGAGGGGGGCUUACGUUUUCACACAAACUUUGUAUGCAGUGUAGAAUGUAUUUUUUGUUUUUGCGAUCACGCAAUCAAUACAACUUUCAACAACGGAUCUCUUGGCUCUC